UACGGAGGAUCCGAGCGUUAUCCAGAUUUAUUGGGUUUAAAGGGUGCGUAGGCGGUUUGAUAAGUUAGAGGUGAAAUGUCGGGGCUCAACCCCGAAACUGCCUCUAAUACUGUUGGACUAGAGAAUAGUUGCGGUAGGCGGAAUGUAUGGUGUAGCGGUGAAAUGCUUAGAGAUCAUACAGAACACCGAUUGCGAAGGCAGCUUACCAAACUAUAUCUGACGUUGAGGCACGAAAGCGUGGGUAGCAAACAGG
rnacentral:rRNA from 1 species